ensembl:lncRNA
AUUGUCUGAACCUAAGCUUGCUAUCCCUGUUCAGCCAACAUACAGCAGAAAAAUAUGCUAGCAACUAGGCUCGAGCAGGAGAGACGAGAAAGAGCCAUCAUUUGUAAGCGAAGAGGUCUGAGCUUCUAUUUACUGUGUGACCUAGAUAAGUCACACUUAAUCUCUGAGAGGCUGCAUCUGCAAAAUGGAAAUGAAAAUCCGUGCUCUGUCCAUCUCAGAGGUUGGGGUGACAAUCAAACACAAGUGCUCAAGAGUAUUUUGAAUGCUCCAAAGUGCCCCGUGAAAGCAAAGUGUUAUGUGUCUGAUAAGGGAGGCAGAAAGCAUUCUCACUCUCUUGCAACAAAUCUUUGAUUGUGCACACUGGAUAUAUACAUCCUGAGAAUUAACUUGUGGGAGAACAGGAAUUUUGCAAGCAGAGAACAAUUGUGACGCAAAUGAUUAAUCUGGAUGAUAGCAAUUAACCUGUUGGCCAAUUAUGAAAGAGCAGGUGCUGCUCAUGUGAUCAUUGCCUCACUUCAGGCCAUGAAGGCUUCUAGAACACGUGGGCUCUGUGAGCUGCCAAACAGGAUCCAGAGCCAAGAAGGCACCUGUCAGAAAAGGUUGGCAAAGCAAGGGCAGUUUCGUCUCUUGCUGAGAAAGAGUGUAUCCAAGGCUGUACUUUGAACAGGCUGACCAUAGGAAAUCAUUGUAAGAAUGUGACUUACAAAAUCUGCCAUUUCUGAAGAAACAUCAUUGGUAUCUUGAAGCGUCAGGGAAAAAUUGCUGAUAAUCAUUGAGCAAGAACAACGUGACUUAUGGCCCACGGAACACGCAUUGUACGUCUGCUUCUAAUAUUUCUCAAAGCAAAGAAUGCACCUUUUAAACAUAGAGAUGAAUGUCUCCCCUUCUCUGAUGCCAAUAUCAGUAUUUCUUUGAAGAUAAGCUUUUCUGCCAAGAGAACCAGGGUCAAGUUGACCUGCUGUCUGCUCCUGCUGCUAUUUGCUCUCAUCACAGUUCAUAGGAGAACCUGGAGCUUCUGUGAUGCCUGCUGGCUCCUCCCUCCACUCCUGCUCUUUGUGUCUACAACCAGCCUUGAACCUCUCCUCACUCUCUCUCUCAAUGUUUUAUUACAGGGAAACUGACAGCCAGAGAAUAUCAAGAAGCCGAAGCUUCCCAGACCCCAACUCCUUGGCUUCCUGGCACCGGAAUCCACCAUCCACCUUGGAGGCAGACAACCAAGGACACCCACGCAGCCUCCUUCCUGCAAGCAGCCUUAGAGGCCAAAUGACAAGGCCAAACGCAGGCUGGUAGGAAAGUGCUGACCAGCAAGGCCGCAUGCUCCCUCUCCCCUAACUGAAACCUCAAAUAAAAACUCCUACCUUUGUUCCUUUGAGGCAGUGGAUCUGAGUUCUAACUAACUCCCAUCUCCUCAUCUGGCUACCUUUUGAUAAAACUCUUUUCUUGCCAUAAGCCUGGUGUUCCCAUUUUUCUUUUGGUCUGUCUCUUGUGUGGCAUGUAAAAGAAACUGUGUUUGUGGCCGGUAACAAAACUAACUUUGUCAUUCAAUUGCUUUCUGGAAAUAAAACCACUUAGAUAAAACCCAAGGGAAAAAAAAGCAUAACACAAACCCUUGACACACUUCUCAUAUUACUACUACAUGAAAGACUACAGAUUUCUUAAUGCUUUCCUCUUGAGUGUACAUAUUACUUUCAGAGAAAUAUUUUCAAAUAUUUAGUUAAUAUAGAGUACAUGCACUGUGCCAGGUACUGGGGAUACAAAGAUAAAUCCAUUCUU